AACGAACGUUGGCGGCGUGGAUUAGGCAUGCAAGUCGAACGAAUGUCAGUUUUGUAGCAAUACCGAGCUGGCGGAAGUGGCGAAAGGGGCAGUAAUGCAUGGGUAACCUACCUUGGGGAUGGGCAUAGCCGUUCUAACGAACGGGUAAUUCCCAGCGAUUCGACGGGAGGGCAUCCUUCUGUCGGGAAAUGAAUUUCGCCUCAAGAGGGGCCCAUGUCGUAUUAGCUAGUUGGUAGGGUAACGGCCUACCAAGGCAAAGAUGCGUAGCGGGUGUGAGAGCACGACCCGCGCCACUGGCACUGAGACACUGGCCAGACACCUACGGGUGGCUGCAGUCGAGGAUCUUCGUCAAUGGGCGCAAGCCUGAACGAGCGACGCCGCGUGCGCGAUGAAGGCCUCGGUUGUAAGCGCGAAGUGGGAAGAAAGACGAAAGUUAGAUCGACCACAGUAAGGACGGG
rnacentral:rRNA from 1 species